UCCAUCCGGAGAGGCUGCAGCCCUCGGCCUGAGGCUGAGGCUGCCGUCUCCAGGGAAGUCCAGGCCGCUGCCUGUGUGAUGGACGUGUCCGCCCUGCCGUGCCAGGGUCUGGGUCCCGAGGCCUCACGGGUCUGCUCCCGCCGCAGCGCUGGGAGCCUGGGAGGCGGAGGCCAGAGAGGCGGCCCCUCUUGUGUCUCCCGAGAUGAGAAACAUGUUCACAAGGAAACGGUCUCUCGGCUGUGCUCUUGGUGCAAACGACGUGGGCUGGAAGGGCAGCCCAGACCCUCAGAGGGGUCCCUCGUGGGGAGGGCGCAGUGCUGGGAGGUGG